GACGAACGCUGGCGGCGUGCCUAAUACAUGCAAGUUGAGCGCUGAAGGUUGGUACUUGUACCAACUGGAUGAGCAGCGAACGGGUGAGUAACGCGUGGGGAAUCUGCCUUUGAGCGGGGGACAACAUUUGGAAACGAAUGCUAAUACCGCAUAAAAACUUUAAACACAAGUUUUAAGUUUGAAAGAUGCAAUUGCAUCACUCAAAGAUGAUCCCGCGUUGUAUUAGCUAGUUGGUGAGGUAAAGGCUCACCAAGGCGAUGAUACAUAGCCGACCUGAGAGGGUGAUCGGCCACAUUGGGACUGAGACACGGCCCAAACUCCUACGGGAGGCAGCAGUAGGGAAUCUUCGGCAAUGGACGAAAGUCCGACCGAGCAACGCCGCGUGAGUGAAGAAGGUUUUCGGAUCGUAAAACUCUGUUGGUAGAGAAGAACGUUGGUGAGAGUGGAAAGCUCAUCAAGUGACGGUAACUACCCAGAAAGGGACGGCUAACUACGUG
rnacentral:rRNA from 1 species